GAAUGAAGAACGUAGCGAAAUGCGAUACUUGAUGUGAAUUGCAGAAUCCCGUGAACCAUCGAGUCUUUGAACGCAAGUUGCGCCCGAAGCCAUUAGGCCGAGGGCACGCCUGCCUGGGCGUCACACGUCGUUGCCCCCCCAUCUACUCCUUCGGGAUUGCGGGGGGCGGAUGAUGGCCUCCCGUGCGCCUCGUCGCGCGGUUGGCCUAAAUGCCAAGUCCUCGUCGACGCACGCCACGACAAUCGGUGGUUGCGAAACCUCGGUUGCCUGUCGUGUGCGGUCGUCGCGCAUCGAGGGCUCGAAAAAAUUGCCGGGCUUCGGCUCGACUUUCAACGCGACCCCAGGUCAGGCGGGGUUACCCGCUGAAUUUAAGCAUAUCAAUAAGCGGAGGA
rnacentral:misc_RNA from 1 species